AGGUGAGGAAGGGGAUCAGCAGUGAUCUAGGAUUCUUUGCUGUGGCCUUUGCAGUACCCCAGCUGCAAGAUUGCCUUUCUUUCUUCUCAGGCAAAAGGCAGAGCACCUGCCUGUCAGACAUGCAUCUUGCCAGCAGAGAGGGGGAAAAAGAGGAGCAAGUUUAAGAACUCUAUGGCAAAGACAGCAACUAUGAAUUUUCCCUGGCUCCCAGCUGAAGAGAAAAUCUACUUCCCUCAUAUAAAAUCAAACUCCACAUUGUACAGAUGAAGACAGCAGUUCGGCUCAAGAAUGUACAUCAGUGUGGGAGACAGGCUAGCCAAAGAAGCUGGAUUCCCAAAUAGGACAAAAAUUCAAAGAAAAAAUAAAUACAACAAACCUCCAAAUCCUCAAGAUCUAGGAGCUCCUGGAAUCUUUUAUUAACUCAGUAAAACUCACAAAAAUACAAGUUUCAUACAGCUUCAGAGGUCAUCCAAGGGUGCUGGUCCCAGGGCAGAUGUUAACAGGCCACCCAUGACCAAGGCCAUGGCGCUCCUUGUGUCCCCAACUGCAGGGAGGACCUGCCAAACCCGGCCAUGAGGCAACACUUCCUUUCUUCCACAGUAAAUUUCCAAUGAGCAAUAACAACUGUACUUGCAAGAGCACGCCCCAGUCUUGGAGAGAAGACAUACUCCCUUUUAAAGAGAGAAGUAAUCAGUGCCUGCUGUCGCCACAAAGACUAACCAGGGCAGAGACUUUGUCUGUGCUGCACUAACAUGCUAUUAAGUUGUGAAACAUUUCAAAAUUGAUAUUGCUGCAUA